CCUACGGGAGGCAGCAGUAGGGAAUUUUCCACAAUGGGCGAAAGCCUGAUGGAGCAACGCCGCGUGGGUGAAGAAGGUCUUCGGAUCGUAAAACCCUGUUGUUAGAGAAGAAAGUGCGUGAGAGUAACUGUUCACGUUUCGACGGUAUCUAACCAGAAAGCCACGGCUAACUACGUGCCAGCAGCAGCGGUAAUACGUAGGUGGCAAGCGUUAUCCGGAUUGAUUGGGCGUAAAGGGAACGCAGGCGGUCUUUUAAGUCUGAUGUGAAAGCCUUCGGCUUAACCGGAGUAGUGCAUUGGAAACUGGGAGACUUGAGUGCAGAAGAGGAGAGUGGAACUCCAUGUGUAGCGGUGAAAUGCGUAGAUAUAUGGAAGAACACCAGUGGCGAAAGCGGCUCUCUGGUCUGUAACUGACGCUGAGGUUCGAAAGCGUGGGUAGCAAACAGGAUUAGAUACCCUGGUAGUC
rnacentral:rRNA from 1 species